rnacentral:rRNA from 1 species
CUCAGGACGAACGCUGGCGGCGUGCUUAACACAUGCAAGUCGAACGAGGAUAAUGACUUCGGUGUUAUUCGAGUGGCGGACGGGUGAGUAACGCGUGAGCAAUCUGUCCUUAAGAGGGGGGAUACCAACUGGAAACAGUUGCUAAUACCGCAUAAGACCACGGCCUCACAUGGGGCUGAGGUAAAAGAAGGAAUUCGCUUAAGGGUGAGCUCGCGUCUGAUUAGGCAGUUGGCGGGUAACGGCCCACCAAACCGACGAUCAGUAGCCGACCUGAGAGGGUGACCGGCCACAUUGGGACUGAGACACGGCCCAGACUCCUACGGGAGGCAGCAGUGGGGAAUAUUGGACAAUGGGGGGAACCCUGAUCCAGCGACGCCCGCGUGAGUGAAGAAGUAUUUCGGUAUGUAAAGCUCUAUCAGCAGGGAAGAUGAUGACGGUACCUGACUAAGAAGCACCGGCUAAAUACGUGCCAGCCGCUGC